GGCGGCAGGCCUAACACAUGCAAGUCGAGCGGUAACAGAAAGUAGCUUGCUACUUUGCUGACGAGCGGCGGACGGGUGAGUAAUGCUUGGGAACAUGCCUUGAGGUGGGGGACAACAGUUGGAAACGACUGCUAAUACCGCAUAACGUCUACGGACCAAAGGGGGCUUCGGCUCUCGCCUUUAGAUUGGCCCAAGUGGGAUUAGCUAGUUGGUGAGGUAAUGGCUCACCAAGGCGACGAUCCCUAGCUGGUUUGAGAGGAUGAUCAGCCACACUGGGACUGAGACACGGCCCAGACUCCUACGGGAGGCAGCAGUGGGGAAUAUUGCACAAUGGGCGCAAGCCUGAUGCAGCCAUGCCGCGUGUGUGAAGAAGGCCUUCGGGUUGUAAAGCACUUUCAGUCAGGAGGAAAGGUUAGUAGUUAAUACCUGCUAGCUGUGACGUUACUGACAGAAGAAGCACCGGCUAACUCCGUGCCAGCAGCCGCGGUAAUACGGAGGGUGCGAGCGUUAAUCGGAAUUACUGGGCGUAAAGCGUACGCAGGCGGUUUGUUAAGCGAGAUGUGAAAGCCCCGGGCUCAACCUGGGAACUGCAUUUCGAACUGGCAAACUAGAGUGUGAUAGAGGGUGGUAGAAUUUCAGGUGUAGCGGUGAAAUGCGUAGAGAUCUGAAGGAAUACCGAUGGCGAAGGCAGCCACCUGGGUCAACACUGACGCUCAUGUACGAAAGCGUGGGGAGCAAACGGGAUUAGAUACCCCGGUAGUCCACGCCGUAAACGAUGUCUACUAGAAGCUCGGGUCCUCGGACUUGUUUUUCAAAGCUAACGCAUUAAGUAGACC
rnacentral:rRNA from 1 species